rnacentral:rRNA from 1 species
GACGAACGCUGGCGGCGUGCCUAACACAUGCAAGUCGAACGGAACUGUUUUGAAAGAUUUCUUCGGAAUGAAUUUGAUUUAGUUUAGUGGCGGACGGGUGAGUAACGCGUGAGUAACCUGCCUUCAAGAGGGGAAUAACAUUCUGAAAAGAAUGCUAAUACCGCAUGACAUAUCGGAACCACAUGGUUUUGAUAUCAAAGAUUUUAUCGCUUGAAGAUGGACUCGCGUCCGAUUAGUUAGUUGGUGAGGUAACGGCUCACCAAGACCGCGAUCGGUAGCCGGACUGAGAGGUUGAACGGCCACAUUGGGACUGAGACACGGCCCAGACUCCUACGGGAGGCAGCAGUGGGGGAUAUUGCGCAAUGGGGGCAACCCUGACGCAGCAACGCCGCGUGAAGGAGGAAGGUUUUCGGAUUGUAAACUUCUUUUAUUAAGGACGAAAAAUGACGGUACUUAAUGAAUAAGCGCCGGCUAACUACGUG